GCUGGGUGUGGUGGCGCAAGCCUGUAAUCCCAACAGUUCAGGAGGCUGAGACAGGAGAAUCUCAAGUUCAAAGCCAGCCUUAGCAAUGACGAGGCACUAAGCACCUCAGUGAGACCCUGUGUCUA
rnacentral:sRNA from 1 species